rnacentral:lncRNA from 1 species
CAAGUGAUGAUGAAUUGCAGUAAAAGGUGGACAAAAUCAAGAACUGGAAAAGAUAAAAAUUGAAUCUUUGAGGUGUGUAGUUCAAUUUCAAGAAUUGGGAAAAAUAAAAAUUGAAUCUUUGAGCUGUGUGUUUCAAUUUCAAGAAGUGGGAUGGAUAAAAAUUGAAUCUUUGAGCUGUGUGUUUCUUCAACUUCAACAUUUUUUUUUGUUGUUUGGGCUAAUGAUUUUGUUGAGAUAAUAUGGUAAGAGAAAACUUCUGCUGCUGCUCAAAAGGGUAUGUGUGUAUGACAGC